rnacentral:rRNA from 1 species
AACGCGAAGAACCUUACCUGGGCUCGAAGCGCAGUGGACCGGGGUAGAAAUAUCCCUUCCUCGCAAGAGGCUGCUGCGGAGGUGCUGCAUGGCUGUCGUCAGCUCGUGUCGUGAGAUGUUGGGUUAAGUCCCGCAACGAGCGCAACCCUUAUCCCUAGUUGCCAUCGGGUCAAGCCGGGCACUCUAGUGAAACCGCCCAGGAUAACUGGGAGGAAGGUGGGGAUGACGUCAAGUCCUCAUGGCCUUUAUGUCCAGGGCUACACACGUGCUACAAUGGUCGGUACAAACCGUCGCAAACCCGCGAGGGGGAGCUAAUCGGAAAAAGCCGGCCUCAGUUCGGAUUGGAGUCUGCAACCCGACUCCAUGAAGCUGGAAUCGCUAGUAAUCGCGGAUCAGAACGCCGCGGUGAAUACGUUCCCGGGCCUUGUACACACCGGCUAC